UUAUUUGUGAUUGUGUUUCAGGAAACAAAUUGAUAGUUUAAUAACUGAAAAUGUAUAUAUUUUGGAGAAAUCUAUUUCAGAGAACAGAAACAACGAUUCUUCAAAAAUGUAGACCAAAUCAGGAAGCUGAGGAUGCAAUACACAACUCAACUAAUGCUUUUGAAGAAAACACUGAAUGUAGGAUCAACAAAAGAUUAUCAAGAAAAAUUACAAAAGAGUAGUAUUACAUGUUCAUUUAUAAAUUUAUAUAUGUUCAUUUAUACAAAGAUAUAUGUUCUUAUAUGUGUUCAAUAGAACUUAUAGAUUUUACUCGCUUAA